CUCCCAACCCAUCCAUGUUGUGUCCCAUAACACUGCUGUCCCCUUGCUGUAGCUCAGCGUUCCCAGGGCUCAUCUGGGGCUCAAAGCACAACAUCAGGCCAGUUCCACCCUGUCCAUUAUAAAACCUGACAACAUGAUAUGGACAGUCCUGAAAACUAAGAUCAAGUUUUGUUACUUUUUAAAUAGAACAGGGAAAACUAAUUGACAGCCUGAAGGCUAAAUCCAGCUCCACAAGAUGGUUUUACUUGGAUCCCACGAUGGCCUAGAGCAACACUACACAUCAGGCUUUUAAACAGCAACAGCAAAACUAAGGAGAACUUUGGUAUCAAUUCACUAUGUUGGUUGGAUUCAGUAACAUGACUUAAACAUCUGUCUAAGGCUCAUGCU